UGCAUGGUUGUCGUCAGCUCGUGUCGUGAGAUGUUGGGUUAAGUCCCGCAACGAGCGCAACCCUUAAGCUUAGUUGCCAUCAUUAAGUUGGGCACUCUAAGUUGACUGCCGGUGACAAACCGGAGGAAGGUGGGGAUGACGUCAAAUCAUCAUGCCCCUUAUGAUUUGGGCUACACACGUGCUACAAUGGACAAUACAAAGGGCAGCGAAACCGCGAGGUCAAGCAAACCCCAUAAAGUUGUUCUCAGUUCGGAUUGUAGUCUGCAACUCGACUACAUGAAGCUGGAAUCGCUAGUAAUCGUAGAUCAGCAUGCUACGGUGAAUACGUUCCCGGGUCUUGUACACACCGCCCGUCACACCACGAGAGUUUGUAACACCCGAAGCCGGUGGAGUAACCUUUUAGGAGCUAGCCGUCGAAGGUGGGACAAAUGAUUGGGGUGAAGUCGUAACAAGGUAGCCGUAUCGGAAGGUGCGGCUGGAUCACCUCCUUUCUA
rnacentral:rRNA from 1 species